UGGAGAUAAGCGGACUCGAACCGCUGACAUCCGCCGCAAGAGCGGCGCUCUACCAACUGAGCUAUAUCCCC
rnacentral:tRNA from 1 species